AUCUUAUCCAGAGUGGCUGAGGGAAGGGCCCUAUGACGCCACAGCAACCGGUCCGCCAUCCAGGCGGAUGCUGGUGCUAACUCCUGCCCGGCGCCCCGGGCGGCACGCGGACGAAUCCGCGGGCCGAUCGUCGCGGCGCUACGGGACAGAUAAGAU
rnacentral:ncRNA from 1 species